rnacentral:rRNA from 1 species
AUUGAACGCUGGCGGCAGGCUUAACACAUGCAAGUCGAGCGGGGUGAUGGUGCUUGCACUAUCACUUAGCGGCGGACGGGUGAGUAAUGCUUAGGAAUCUGCCUAUUAGUGGGGGACAACAUCUCGAAAGGGAUGCUAAUACCGCAUACGUCCUACGGGAGAAAGCAGGGGAUCACUUGUGACCUUGCGCUAAUAGAUGAGCCUAAGUCGGAUUAGCUAGUUGGUGGGGUAAAGGCCUACCAAGGCGACGAUCUGUAGCGGGUCUGAGAGGAUGAGCCGCCACACUGGGACUGAGACACGGCCCAGACUCCUACGGGAGGCAGCAGUGGGGAAUAUUGGACAAUGGGGGGAACCCUGAUCCAGCCAUGCCGCGUGUGUGAAGAAGGCCUUAUGGUUGUAAAGCACUUUAAGCGAGGAGGAGGCUCUUUUGGUUAAUACCCGAGAUGAGUGGACGUUACUCGCAGAAUAAGCACCGGCUAACUCUGUGCCAGCCGCCGCGGUAA